CCUACGGGGGGCUGCAGUCGAGAAUCUUCCGCAAUGGACGAAAGUCUGACGGAGCGACGCCGCGUGAUUGAUGAAGCACUUCGGUGCGUAAAGAUCUUUUAUGAGGGAAGAAGUUUAUUGACGGUACCUCAUGAAUAAGGGGCUCCUAAUCUCGUGCCAGCAGGAGCGGUAAUACGAGAGCCCCGAGCGUUAUCCGGAAUUAUUGGGCGUAAAGGGUGCGUAGGUGGUUGUGUUAGUCGUUUGUUAAAUCCUCGGGCUUAACUCGAGAACCGCGA
rnacentral:rRNA from 1 species